rnacentral:lncRNA from 1 species
GGUUUUUCCCUAAACAAUUUUCUAAUCUCUCAAAGCUCUCUUUCUAAGAUAUACACACAAUCUUAGAAAACUUUCAAAGAAACCCUUUGCACUCUCUAAGCUCUUAACUAUCUUUUCUCUCAAGUUAAAGCUUAAUGCUAGAUUCUCUUUCUCUUAAUAAGUUGAGCUUUUCUUAAGCCCCAGCUUCCUAUUUAUAGAACUAGGACAUCUCCAUACAACAGGAAAUUCUCAUUCUACUUCUAAAUAGGUUUAAGGAUAAUUUCCUUUUUCUUUAUGGAUUAGGAAAUUAUCCAACUCUUCUUGUUUUACUUUUAUCUCUAUAAAAGUAAAGUCUUCAUGCUUCUGGACACUUCUUCUUUGUCUUGUGUCCAUGUA